GAGGAUGAUGACAUCCCAGCAGGGCA
rnacentral:piRNA from 1 species